AGGAGCCGUAUGAGGUGAAAACGUCAUGUACGGUUCUGUAAAGGGA
rfam:Hordeum vulgare subsp. vulgare, WGS project CAJW01000000 data, contig: morex_contig_908974